rnacentral:rRNA from 1 species
AUUGAACGCUGGCGGCAUGCUUUACACAUGCAAGUCGAACGGUAACAGGCCGCAAGGUGCUGACGAGUGGCGAACGGGUGAGUAACGCAUCGGAACGUGCCCAGUCGUGGGGGAUAACGCAGCGAAAGCUGCGCUAAUACCGCAUACGAUCUAUGGAUGAAAGCGGGGGACCGUAAGGCCUCGCGCGAUUGGAGCGGCCGAUGUCAGAUUAGGUAGUUGGUGGGGUAAAGGCUAACCAAGCCGACGAUCUGUAGCUGGUCUGAGAGGACGACCGGCCACACUGGGACUGAGACACGGCCCAGACUCCUACGGGAGGCAGCAGUGGGGAAUUUUGGACAAUGGGGGCAACCCUGAUCCAGCAAUGCCGCGUGCAGGAAGAAGGCCUUCGGGUUGUAAACUGCUUUUGUACGGAACGAAAAGGCUCUGGUUAAUACCCGGAGCUAAUGACGGUACCGUAAGAAUAAGCACCGGCUAACUACGUGCCAGCCGCCGCAGUAAAAC